UGUAAAUUUAUACCCUAAUUCUUAAAUUUACCUCGGCUAUGUAAACCGCGGCCAAUGAGAGUGCGUAUUUACGCGUCCCCAAGCGAUUCCGAAAUUUUCAACGUAAAUGACGACUCAGUUAUUAUUUUCGACUUACGACAGGUAAUAAAGAAUUUUGUGCUAGUCCUUUUGUUUAUCUUUACUGUUUCUUCGUGCCUAUAAGUAUCCAGUAAGUUAAAUAUUUACAUUAAUACCUGUUAACAAUGAUUACUUGUCAAAUUGCCUGACUGGUCAAUUUGCCAAUUUCCAUAUAAUCUGUGCGUGGUCCUUUAUGAAAAUGUCUUAUUACCUAUUAGUAUGCAUUUAGUAUAGAUUUUCGGCAAGUAAAGGACAUUACUGAUGAAUCUUCUCUUGAGCUUGGCUCUAACAAUACUAUAAAAAUAUACCUAGAACAAGAACCUGUUACGGAAAAAUGUGACUCAUUUGGAGGAGCAUUGCAUUGCUUAAUUGCUCUUUAUUUUGUCUUUAAUUUGGAAUAUCCCAAAGAAGCAUCCUGCAUUUUGGAGUUUCUUCAAAGAUAUAUUUCAAAAAUACACCCCGAAGCAGGAACCAAAUCGAAAAAACAAAAUCUUUUGAAAAGAAACGUUAUUUCAUAUUAACCGAAGUUCUGAAUAAUAAAUUAUUAUUUUAUUAAAUAAUUAUUUAUAAAUUA